AAAUUGAAGAGUUUGAUCAUGGCUCAGAUUGAACGCUGGCGGCAGGCCUAACACAUGCAAGUCGAACGGUAACAGGAAGGAGCUUGCUUCUUUGCUGACGAGUGGCGGACGGGUGAGUAAUGUCUGGGAAACUGCCUGAUGGAGGGGGAUAACUACUGGAAACGGUAGCUAAUACCGCAUAACGUCGCAAGACCAAAGAGGGGGACCUUCGGGCCUCUUGCCAUCGGAUGUGCCCAGAUGGGAUUAGCUAGUAGGUGGGGUAACGGCUCACC
rnacentral:rRNA from 1 species